GCUCGGGCGCUUUUCCUCCAGGAAGCCAAGCCGCUGCGGUGCGCUUUGGCUACCUGGGAGGGAAAGGGGAAGGAAAUUCUCUCUACCCCCCGGCUUUCUCUUCCCUUCCCCCCAUUUGGGAAACGAGUAGAGGUAUUGAAAUUUAAAGGAGAUUUUCAAAGGCCGCUGUCGAAGGAUGCUAAUAGGAGUUGCAAGACAGACGCAUUAGGAAGAGGGAAUUUCCCACGGAAAGCUUUGUAAUGAGCUAACGAGACGCGUUCCCCCACCUCACCUUUGGAGGGGAGGGGAAAACAGAGCUUGAAUUACGCAUUUAAUUUCCCCUGCGCUCGUUCCCAAAUGGGAAAAGCUGAUGGGUCUCGAUAGGAUCGGGAUUUCUGGUUUCAAGGUUUAACGUUGUGCGCGCUCCCCUGCUUGCAGACCCCGCAGCUACUCCCACCGCACAUCCUCUCGCCGGUCUUCGCGUCUGCGUCUCCCUCCCGCUGUUGGCGCGUUGCUUCGGGCAAGUACUGCAAGGUGUUCCGGGGCUCUGGAUUCCAAGCCCAGGUGGUUCACUGGCGUCUCAGGGAGACGGAGAGAGGAAAGACACAUGGGUGUGGUAGUGAUGAGAGUCAGGGUGGAAGCCCGGGUUAGCUCGUAAGAAUCCAAAAUAUAAGGGCUCUGCUGGAGGGAUUUGAAUUUUGAAAAAGGGAAAGAAUGAUUUUGGUUUCUUUCUAGACACCCCCGCUUACAAAUUUUGUUUCUGUUUUUGGCUUCUAGUAUAUAUCUGGAAACUCUCCUGCUUUAUCAUAAAUCAACUUAUUUUGUUUUUAUUGGAAGCUGUCAGAAAGCUGUCAAACCUUAACAAAAUGAGGGACCAUAAUGAUUUAUCCUAUUUGAAGCUUACAAUUAAGUUAGGGUUGAUGAACUCUACCUGCUUCAGAGGAAUUUGAUGUCUUCCUCUCUCCCCACCCUCCUCUUACCUUCAACAGAAGCAAUUAUACUGCCUUAUUUGACACUGCAGACUCCUGACAAUCCUGGCUGCACGACUAUAGAUGGGACUAGGUUUCAAGCAGCUUCUGCAUGAAUCCUGAGGUUAACCUUGUGUUUUUUGGUUACAGCUAGACUCACAUCAUUGAAAUAUUAAGAGACAGUUGAAUGACAACUGGAUUAGUGACCUCAUUAUUUUAUUAGAGAAGAAAGAAUUCUGAGGGUCCUAUCACUUAUACAUAAAUGAUCCUCUUCUCUCUAAGCUUCUAACUAAAGAUAAUUAUGUAAGUCACUAGAUUCCUGAGCAAACUGAAAGACUUUCCCAGCUGGAGCUUUACUUGGGGUGCAUGGUAGGGUGCAGUGGAGGACCACACCCAGAAGAUGGUGAAUGUCAACAUAUCCAGGCUGAGGUGACCUAAGGAGCUGCCCUGUUGGCAGCUGGAAGGGGUCUGAAGAGAGGAGAGGGCUGGGGUUCAAAGUUGAGCUGCAUGGGCUUCUUUUUUCCUUCUACCUAGGGUCCUCAGGAUUUGCCACCCAACCCCUAGCCUUUGAGGAUCCCAUGGUGAAAAACAUCUAUCUGGCUAUUAAUCAUACUAAGAAAUCUAGAGGAAUACACUGAGCCAUUACAGCUUGGUAUGUUGUAAUUGUAUGCAAACACUUAGACAUUUUUAAAAGUAGAAUAUUAGAGAUAUAACUUAAGCUCCUUUUGCAUUCUUCUCUGAUCCCAUUCAUCUGCCAUCAUACCUAGAAGUAAACACUUUACUUAUCUGGUGUAUAUCAUUCCUAUACAUAAUGUUUUUAAACUUUUACCACACGUAUUUAUCUCCCUGAACAAUAUGUAAGAGUGCUUUGUCUUUAACCAAUACAUAAACGGUGUCAUGUUCUUUCAUUUUGCACCUUGCAAUUUACUUAAUAUUAUAAUUUUGAAAUGUAUGCAUCCAGCUGCAUAAAGUCCUAGUUAUUUUAUUACAACUACUGUAUUGUAUUUCAUUUCAUAAAUAUGCCAAAAUAUAUUCAUUAAUUCUUUUAUGUAUGAAUCUACAGAUUGUUUCCAGGGUUGUUGAUUUUUCCCUUAAAAAAGUACAAUCUUGUACCUGCCUCUUAGUUUUUCUUGCUCAUAUACUGAAGAGUAGAAUUUCUGGACCAUAGGAAAUGCUUGUUUUCAGCUUUACCAGGUAUUUUCUGUUAUUCUUAAAAUGAUGGUACCAAUUUAUAAGUCUCCUCCCCCGCUAGCAGUGUGUGAGAUUUCCCCUAGUUCCACAUCCCUAACAACACUUCAAGACCCCUCUCUUUAUGAAUAGGAAUAUGAUAGACAACACAGAUCUUUUGUCACUGAGUUUAAUGUUCCACUAUAUAAUUCCACCUUCUAUACAUCACCCCCCAAAAAUGCUUAGUUUAAUAUAACAUUUCAAAAGUUAUAGAAUAUGUUGGCUUUGUCUUCCAGCAGAAUGGCUUUAAAUUAAUUAUCUGUGCCAGUAAAAUGUGCUUAAGAUAGAUAUUAACAGGCAAUUAGGAAAUUUUUUGCCAUGAAGCCCUCGAACUGUGAAUGGUAUUCAAGUUAUUAGUAAAUAUUGAAACUCUGCAUUUAUAUGUCUAUAUGCAGACACAGUGUAUAAAUUUCACCUAAUUUAAACUCCUAUUUAUAGUUGUAGCUUUUUUUUCCUCUCCCUCAAACACACCUGUUCUCAGAGCAAGUUGAGCCUUAAAUGUGAGACAUUUGUCUAAUAUUUGUUAACAUUUUAGUAAGAAUACUGCAGCUCUGAAUGUAGUGAGGGGUAAACAGCUGUUCCUCUCAGACAAUAGUGUAAACAAUGCCAUCUUCUGGGGGCAUUUUGCCAGCAAGUAUUUAUUAGCAGUAGAAUAUUAAUCACUAUAAAAACUGUUUUCAGCCAGAUUGAUAUUUACCUAUUGAAACUAUUUUGUAAAGCUUUUAGUCUGAUAAAUCCACUUUCCAAAUGGUGAAGUAGAAGCUGAGUAAACUCCCUUUUCUCCCCCAUGUUUCUCCAUAUAGAAAAAUAACUCGUUUUUGCAGAGCACUCUGCUUUGAAGAGGCUUAAAAGUUCUGCAUGGAUGGAGCAGGUUGAAUACUAACAGAAAAUGGGGAAAAAAUGGACAAUUUUGAAACUGGAAAAUGUCUAUAUUUUCAAGAUGAUAAAUCUGACCAUCUUCUCAAGACAAACUUAUAUUUGAAAUCUUAAAAAAGGAAAUGAAAUGGGUAGGAUGGCAUUUCAUUGCUUCUUUGAUUUUCCCUUGAGCACUUCCACCUAUUCUUCCUUAUGGACAGAAGGGAAAGAAUCAUUCAUCAAAUGGAAUCUUAGCAUUGGAAUAUUCAACAAGUGGUUCAUCUCAUUGAUUUUAUAAUUCUCCUGUGAGGCAUAUAGAAGGCACGUUUGGUCAUCUCCAUUUUAUGGAUAGGAUACUAAGAGGAGAUGGAUAUUGACAUGAUAAAUGUCACACAGAAUUAAUGGCUCCAACCCAUAGGGGCACAGAAAAUGAAGGUUCCCCCCCUCCCCUAUUCUAUCAAAAAUAGUUAUCUUCUGUCAUCUGCCUCCUGCCAGUACAACGGCCAUUGCUCUUAGAUGCCUUUGCCGGGUGUGCAUGCUUUUCAGCUGGUAAGAUGCUGUGCUCUUUGCAUAUACUGCUCUUUCCUCUUUUCCUGGACUUUUCAUUCCCACUGGCAAAUGUUCAAGUCCAAACUCCACUAACAAUUCUCUGUUUCCUGAACUCAGUAAUUUCUCAAGAAUAGUUCCCUGAAGAAUAUUUAACUUUGAGUUUUCAGCACACAUAGUAGAUUUUCAAGGAAUAGUUGAUGUCUGAUAAUGUUAGCUACAAAAAGUCCUUGUCGGUUAUUUCAGGGGUUAUAACGAUCCCCCAAUCCACUCCUUGCACCAGAAUGCAGAGGCUCCUUUAAGGACAUUUAUCCUUAUUUACCUUAAAAUCAAGAUGUCAACUAUAUUAAAAAAAAAAACUGAAAAUGCAGUUUAGGGUUAAUAUCCUGAUAGUUUAUUUUCCUAGUCACAUAUUUCUCCAAUAUUUAGAUUCAUUUCUCUGAAGGAAUUUACCCUCUAAAGUAUCUAUAUAAUUGCAUUGAUACAAAUCUAGCCAUGCCACAUCCAGAAACAUAUGUCAAAAAUAGUUUUUCUUUUUCAUUUAUUUCUGUCUCUCUCUAAAAGAACUCCUGCCUAUAAUCACCAAGAAGUCAUUUUGAUAUAUAUAACAUUUCAGGAGAAACUUGUUUGGGAUAAUUAAAUAAAAAUAAUUCAGAGCUUAAAAUAGGAAAUUCUAAGUAUUAGCCUUGGUUUGCAGCUUACUAUUACGAGGCCUGGAGUAUAUAACUUGGUCUCUUUGAGAUUCCAUUUCCAUUCCUGUGAAUUGUGAAUUAUGAUAAUCCCUGGCUUUGGUAUUUGUGCAUAUUCAAAGGAAUCAUACAUUUAAAAAUACUUUUGUUAUAUGGACACAAGUUGUAAAUGCUGUGUCCUAGCCUGGAGAAGACAAUUUAUUCAGUCCAUAAUCACAGGAUUUCUAAUGCAUUUUAUUUGCCAGUUCAAGUAAGUGCAAACAUCUAAAAAAUAAGUGCAAACAUCUAAAAAUUACUCAUUCCAGUGGAAACCUGCAAGAUUUUUUCUCAAAAUAAUCACAAUAAUUUAAUUAACUCAACAUUAACUUAUUGAGCAACACUAAUGUGCCUAGCCUUGUAUAAUUUUUUUUUUUUUUUGGUCAAAUAGAUGUCAUCAAUGACCUGGUCCUAUCUGAAGUUUUUUAUACUUUCCACAAUUUCUAGCUGGGAAGUUGACAUGUACAAACACAAGUAAUAAGUGCUUAUAGGAGAGGAACAAUUUAAUCCUGUAUCUUUCAAGUCCAUCCAAGUGGCAGACAUUGAGGUCCUGGUCAACAGCCAAUUCCAACUUUUUCCUUGGUUCCAAAACAGGCUGGUAAAGAAAUCACAAUUGGAGUAAGCCUACCAUAGCAAUUGCAUACCCCUUUCAGAGUGAUUAUCUGGUGCUUGCUGUGUGACUCAGUUCUGACCAAAAAAACUCAAGAGGAAAAAGAGAUCUUCUUAGUGAAAAGGAGAAGAGUGGGAAUAAAAAGGUCAUUGCUCCUGCAGUUUUCCCCAUAGCAUGUACAAUAUCUUGUGAGGGGAUGAGGUUUGUAAUGACAAUAGCCAAUUUAGGAACCUAAAGAGUUGGCCAAGACUACAAGAUGAGAAAAAAAAAAAAAGAUGGACAUUUCCUGAAUCUUUAUCACAACAUUAAAUUAUUUCUACUCAAAAACCAUAAAUAUUUAUACCCUUUAAGCUACUACUUGUUAAUUUCUCUAGAAGAAAAUGAAACAGUGUUCAUUAAAUAUCAACCUGCAGUAGGCAUUUUGACUUUGUUUUUUCAUUUAGAAUUCAUGGCAAAAUUCUGAAGUCAGUAUCAUUAGCUACAUUUGGCAUAUAAAGAUAUUUUUAAGACUCCUGAAAUUUAAGUAACAUUGUCCAAAACACAAAGCUAUUAUUUAGAAGUGCAAGGAUCUGAACCUGUGUUUUCUGAUACCAGAUUUUUGGGUUAUCACGUCAUUGCUCGGUGCCACAAGUGUUCACAAAUGAAAUAAAUGUACUAAAUCUUCUGUGUGUUUGUAGAGUAUGUGUGUAUGUGUGUGUGUAAUUAAUCUGAUCAUUUGAGUCCACAUAUGAUUGACAAUUUGACUUCUAUAAAAAUUAUUUUUAGUGUUACAAAGGCCUUGUUUCUGUCUCUCAGGGAAUAGCUUGCUUCACAGCCAAUGUGCUAUUACUCAGUUUUUUAAAGGCAAUUAAUGAAGAACAGCAGGUAUCUGUUCUAUCCUAGGUGCACAUCUGAUUUUUAAGUCAAGCUGACAUCUAAACAUAUGAUCUGUGAUAGCCACUACUAGGAAAACUCUUUUACAAAAUUUUCCAAGGAUGUAUUUUUCAGGGAAUAAAUUAUUUGGAAGAAGAAGGAGCUGAUUUCAAAAGAUUAUCUUAUUAUAUAACCUAAUCCCUAGUAUUUAUGUCCUUUUAUCCCUUUUGAAUUUAAAUCAGCACACAAAGCACAGUAAAAACAUUUAUAAUUUGCUUUUUAUUGGCAUUUUUAAUAAGGUGGAAAGAAUGUUAGCCUAGAGCCAGCAGGGGGUGUGCUGACUAGUAGGAAGAAAAAAAUGUAGAGCAGAUUUGAAGCAGCCCUGUGAAAAACUUUGAAGGCUGCUGAAUUCUUGUUUAUUUGUGGGAAAGUGGGGAAAGGAUGCAGGAGAAGGCACCAAAGCACAAAAACAAAUCAAAAACAGAAAAACAAAUCUGCUGAUGAUGUUUUUAAAAUUGUUGUUUAUAUCUUUGAUGUUACAUCUACUAAGAAAUCACACAAGACCUAGAAUAAUAAUUAUUUAUAACCCAAAAUAUUGAAUACAAAUUGUCAUCUUAUUUUUACUGUUAUUUUUUAAAUAUGCCACCUGCCUCUUUCAAUGGAAAACUUCUCGAUUUUAGCCCUGUUGGAGGCACUGCAAACAUACUAGUUUAAUUGGACUUAGGCUGUGCAUAUUAUUAGUAGAUCAUGAUGUAGCACUGAAAACAAAAGGCAUUCAAACAGCAGAGAAACUUGCUGUGCGGUCAAUAUACUUUUAUUUUUCCUUUUGCAUGAAGGAAAAUUUAUUUUAAAGGGUAAGUAAUAUAUAAAAUGACCUAAUACAUCUUUAAUUAAAAAUGGCUAAAAUAGGGAGGUUUUCAAGAGUCAGUUAUAUGAUAUCAUUUAAGUGGAGCAUAUAUUGAUUCAAUUUGCACAAGAUUUUUUGUAAAUCUGGCAAUGUAUAACUAAAUGCUAGGAGUACACGUACCUGUGCUCAAGCUUCAUUCAAUUUAAGAAAGAGGAUUGGUAUACAAGAAAAAAAGAAAAACAUGACAUACUCAAGAAGUCAGCAAACCCUGUCCUACAAGCCCAAACUGGUCGGCUGCUUACUUUUGUAAGUUCGUAAGCUUGAAUGAUCACUACAUUUUUUAAUAGUUGAAGAGAAUCAAGAAAAGAAUAACAUCUGUGACACAUGCAAAUUACAUAAAAUUCAAAUUCAAAUUCAAAUCCACCAUAAAUUGUGUGUUUUUUUUAACAUUACCAUGCUAAUUUGUUUGUGUUAUUUAAUCUACAGCUGCUUUUGCACCACAAUUGUGAAGUUCAGAAGUUACCACAGAAUCUAUGUGAUCUGCAGAGAAUCGCUUGAACCUGGGAGGCAGAGGUUGCAGGAGGUGGAGGUUGCAGUCAGCCUAGAUCGAGAUGGCAGCGCUGCACUCCAGCCUAGGUGAUAGAAUGAGACUGUCUCCGAAAAAAAAAAAAAAAAAAAAAAAAAGAUCUGACCUACAAAGCCUAAAUUAGUUACUAUCUGACUCCCCAGAAAAGUUUAUCCAGGUCUCCAACUCGCCCAAUACCUGGAUCAACACAACGAAAGCACAGAAAGUGGACAAACAGAAGGAGAACAACUAUGAAGGCUCAUGAAAACUCAUGAUUUAAAAAUAAAGCAUUCCCAGAUCAAAUGGGUUAGAGGCAAAUGUGGGAAGAUGAUAACAUCAUUUAAUAAUGUGUUAUAACAAAAAGGAAAUCAAAGACUUUGGUAACUUCUGUUUCAUUCACAGAAGAUCACAUUUCUCCACCUGGACUGAUUUAAGAAUUGAGGUUAGUUGACUACUAUUAGCAAGACUUGCAAUUAUGGCAUGCAGGCACAUCCUCUUCUGUUCACUUGAGUUAUUUCUGUAUAGCAGUAGAUCAUGAGGACAUGGACAAAGGCAUUGCACCUACUUUCUCCUUGAGCAAUUUCCAUUGAUGUCUGUGAUGCUGAUACUGAAUUACAGAAUCCCGAGGAUUCUGUAUUGUUGUAGUUCUAAACCUUUUGCUGUGGAGGUUAGCCUGUGGAUAGGAAGAGUCAAACAAGAACAACUUAUACAGUUUCUCUGGCUAGAAAAUGAACAAUACAUGCUUCCUGUCCUUAUGAUGUUCCCACAUGUGGAUGGUGAAGCAGGCACCAAGAUGACUAAGCUAGAACAACAAGAUUUGGUGAAUCCAGAGCUGACGAAUAACAGUUCAUCUGGCAUGGAAGCAAAGGAAGAAGUUCCAGGGAAGGCAAAGGCCCAAAUUUGUGAAUCUGUGUGCCAUGUGCUGGGGAAAAUUGAAACCUUCCAAUGAACUAGAAUGAAUGUUGUGUGUAUGGGAAGCCUAUGGACUCAAUGAGAAGAAUAAUUAGUGAAUGUGUCCAUGUUGUCUAUAUUUUACAUGGGUCAGAAGGAAGGAUUGAGUGCAGAAGACAAAAUGUUAAUCGGAAGUGGGGUCAUUUUCAUAUUUAGGCUUAAACAAGAAUAUAGACAUUACUAUUAAAGCAUAGAAAUAAAAAAAUGAUGAUAUUUUUAAGUGUCAUAACUUCUAACUAUUUGCCAUCAUAUUUUUGGUUUACUCCCUUUCAAAUACACUUAAGCGUAAGUGUAGCCUAGAAGAGAGCAAGACCCAAUAUUUGGCUAGUUCAGGGAGUGACUUACAAGCAAAGCAGUUCCACCCAUGACCAAUUUCUUAAAUUUCUGGAGCAACCCAAGUAGCAAGACUGGGAAAAUAUGACUGAAUUUGCAAAAAAUCAAGUCACUUCUUUGGAAAGAUGUUAAACUCCAAAGAUCAAUGUAUAGACCUUUCCACUUAGCUUACAACUAGAUAAAACAUUCUUUUGACAUGAAAUGGCUUAGGACAAAUGCUUUAACAAAAGAACUGAUUAAACACUGCUGUUACUAAAGCCUCACAAUAGUUAAUGCACUUAAAGAGUUCUAAAUCGGCUGAGCAUUGACGUCUUAAAGGAUUAUAUUGAGUGUCACCAUAUACACAGGAAAGUCUCCUUCAAAACCUACUAUGGAGUAUAAUGGACUAUACAUGUUAUUGUAAACAAAUUGGCAAGAUUCGAGGUUUUCUCUGGAUUCUAGCAUCUUUAAAAAGAGAAUGUCUGUUGUUUUAUAAAAGCAUUUAUUUACAUCUUUAUCAGGUAUCCUCCAGUCCCAAAUGUGAGAGGUUAGGGCAAUCUGUGGAUUGGGGUGGCUUUCUCUUCUAAGUCACUCCCAGACUAGGGAAGUGACUCAGAAGAGUCACUGAGUGGGGAAACACAGAACCAGGGAUGGCUCUGUAGCUCUGACCUAACUUAAAGCUCCAGAUUGGUCUGACCUUUUCUCACUUUGCGAUUCAGACCUGAAAAAAAUGAGGCCAAAGUUGGCUCAUCUUCCUCCCUUGAAAAUGUUCUAAGGAGAUGAACCACAUCCUGUCCUAUCUCCCCCAAACCAUACCUCAGCACAGGGGCUUGUUUCAUUGGUACAAGAAUAAGUUGUCUUUCUUUUGCUAGAAAGCUCACAACUUUAAAACCUACAAAAAAUGAAUGAAUUAUAAUCUAGAACUUCAGAUAUCUGUAUCAUAAUAGUUGGAUAUGCUUAUGGAGUAUGAUAUGAUCUUUUGCAGCAAAAUCUCACUUUGUACUCAACAAAUACAUACAAUUAUUAUUUGAAAGUUCAAUUAAUUAGUUUAAAAAUCUGUAGAAAUAUCAGUGUCUUCUGGGGAGGAAAUUAUUACGUGCAUGUCAAGAUUUGCCAAAAUUUUAAUACUUUGUUACCCUAUGUCACUUUUGUGAAGUGAUUAUAGGGAUAUUUUUCUAAAUAUAGAGUUUAUCAUAAGGAAGUUUUGUUAACAAUAGAAUCUUAAAAGUGCACUAGGAUAUUCAUUGCAAUUUUGUUUUUAAAAGUAAAAAAACAUUGGCUGGAUGUGGUGGCUUAUGCUUGUAAUCCCAGAACUUUGGGAAUCUGAGGUAGGCAAAUCACUUGAGGCUUGAAGUUCGAGACCAGCCUGGCCAACAUGGUGAAACCCCGUCUCUACUAAAAAUACAAAAAUUAGCUGGGUGUGGUGGUAGGCACCUGUAAUCCAGGUAUGUGGGAGGCUGAGACACGAGGAUCACUUGAACCAAGGAGGUGGAGGUUGCAGUGAGCCGGGAUUGCAGUGAGCCACGGCACUCCACCCUGGGCAACAGAGCAAGACUCCAUGUCAAGGAAGAAAGGAAGGAAGGAAGGCGAGAGAGAGAGAGAGAAAGAAAGAGAGAGAUAAAGAAGAAAGAAAAGAGAAAGAGUAAAAGAAAGAGAAAGAAAGAGAAAGAAGAAAGAAAGAGAAAGAAGAAAGAAGAAAGAAAAGAGAAAGUAAAAGAAAGAGAGAGAAAGAAAAAGAAGAAAGAAAGCAAAAAGAGAGAAAGAAAGAAGGAAGGAAGGAAAGAAUGGAAAGAAAGAAAGAAAGAAAGAAAGAAAGAAAGAAAGAAAGAAAGAAAGAAAGAAAGAAAGAGGAAGGUAAAAAAAAUAUAAAUAGCCUCUAUUCAAUAUCACAGUUUGGCCAAUACAUUUUGUAUGUAUGUGCAAUGACAUCUUACACAACUGCUGUCAUUCCUAAUUGUAAAUAAAAUGUAAACUUAAAAAUUGUAUGACAUGCUAAGGGAAACAGCAUACAAUCUGAAUUCAAAAUGUAAUAAAAAUGUACCUGUUCUAUAUGUACAUGGAAGAUAAUAAAAUAGAAUAAACAAAUGCCUAAAUAAAUAUGCUAGUAUAGAAGCAUUGUGGGAUUUUUCUUUAAAAAUUUUUUUAUUUAGUGCCAUUACAUCCAUCUUUAAAAAGAUAACUUAAAAAUGUAGCAAUGAAGGUCAUAGAGCAAAAGAAAGUCACUGAUGAUGACUAAAUGAAUUACAAUGUUGACAUUCUAAUUACCACCAGUUAAUGAUAUGAAAUCAGUUUACAAAUUAGAUAACCUCUUGUGAGAACUGAGAGGUAGAAGUGGGAUUUCAUCACAUGCUUCUGGUGAAGAAUCUCACGGCAACAAUGCGUGGCCAAGGAAGACAGAAUAUAAGAGAAGAAAAAUGAGAAACCCAAUACGGUUGGCUUUCUGUUGUGUGCCAGACACACGUGGGUUUAGCUUUGCCUCCUUCAUGUGCACUCUAGAUUUACUAACGGUGGUGAACAUGAAGUGCUUUACUUGCUG
rnacentral:lncRNA from 1 species